rnacentral:lncRNA from 1 species
GUGUACUCAGGGAUGCGCAUGAGGUUGCCGUCAAGCGCCUAUAUGAGAACAACAUGAAACGUACUGAGCAGUUUAUGAAUGAAAUUGAGAUCCUAGCCCAUUUACAACACCGGAAUCUGGUGAAACUUCACGGAUGUACCUCGAGGCACAGCCGGGAGCUUCUACUCGUUUAUGAAUACAUUCCUAAUGGAACUGUUGCUGAUCAUCUUCAUGGAAGACAGUCAAACUCUCGCUUGCUCACUUUGCCUGUUCGGCUAAGCAUUGCCAUAGAGACAGCCAGUGCGCUGGUGCACCUCCAUGCUUCAGAUGUCAUACAUCGAGAUGUAAAAACCAAUAACAUUCUCCUAGACAAUGACUUCUGUGUCAAAGUGGCUGAUUUUGGUUUGUCCCGAUUGUUCCCAACUAAUGUCACUCAUUUAACGACUGCUCCACAAGGAACACCUGGAUAUGUUGAUCCGGAGUAUUAUCAAUGCUACCAGCUCACGGACAAGAGUGAUGUUUACAGCUUUGGCGUCGUCUUGAUUGAGCUGAUAUCAGCUUUACAAGCAGUGGACACCAAUAGGCGUCGGCACGAUAUUAAUCUGUCCAACAUGGCAGUCAACAAAAUCCAAAAUCAUGCUUUGAAUGAGUUGGUUGAUCCAUUUCUUGGAUUUGAUAAGGAUUUCGUAGUGAGGAGGAUGGUAACAUCAGUUGCAGAGUUAGCUUUCCGGUGUUUGCAACAACAGAGGGAAAUGAGGCCAACUAUGGAAGAAGUGUUGGAGAUAUUGAAAAGAAUUGAGAAUGAAAAUUAUGGAGCAGAAAAGGCAGAUGUAUUGGAUAUUAGUGAGGAUGAUGUUGGGCUAUUGAAGCAUGCUUCUUCUCCACUUCAACUUUCAGCAGACUCAAUGAGUGAUCAAUUCUUGGGAAGCAGUUCUUCCACUAACACACCCCAUUCCUGCUAGCUGUAGAGAUUUCCUUAUCCUUUUAGCUUAAAAUCCGUGAGUAGUAAAUUCAAAGUGUUAUACAAUAAAUGCGUUUGUGAUUCAGUUUUUUUUUUCUUUGUUGGUGUUGUUUUGAUGAAACAAUUUAUGGUUGCCAUGUUUGUGGACUAACAUAAAGCUAAUAUGCAGGAAUUCGCGGUGGCUGAUAUAUACCUAUCAGAAGAAGCUUCAUAGUACAUCUGUACCGAAUCCUCUAAAGCUAGAUCAAGCAAAACUAGAGAAGAACAGGAAAGUUGUUAAUUAGACGUUUCUCACUUUCGAAAGAUAUAUACACUACUGGCAAAGGAAUGAAUCCAUCAAAAGAAUCAGAACUACAAGUUGGGGAGGAAUUUCUUCAGAUUGAUUACCGUUCCAACUUCCAUACAUCACAUUUCACAGGGUGUUAAAAGUUCUGUUUUUUUUCUGGUUUCUGAUCUUAUGUCGUUAAUUAUCAUGUUAUUUAAACAGUCAGACACAGCUUUGAGCCUGCAACAAGAGAAUAGGUUGAAGCAGGUGGGUGUAACAAUGAGGAAUGCAGGCUCUUACAUGGGAAAACUGAAGAUGAACGAGGGGAGGGAAAUUUUGACAAGAUGGGAAACACUUCUGUACAAAAGGUGUCCGAUCUGUCGUCUUUCUACAACAUGAUAGGCUAGACGUUGGUUGUUGAUUGAUAGUUUUCUUCUGUUUUGAGUGUUUAUAUGUAUAUAUAGAAAAUUUGAUGAAGAAAUUUGUGUCUCUCGUCUAAGUUCUACCAUUCAAUUAUUAUGAUUGAAAAAAACAUAAAGCAGAGAGGGUAUUAGUUUUCUAAUAUAUUUCAAAAUGUUAUUUAAAGUUUUUUUCUUAAGUAUAAAAAUAAUAUAUUUUUUUAUUUUUUUAAAUUUAUUUUUUACAUUAACAUAUUAAAAUAAUUUUAAAAAUUUUAAAAAUAAUAAAUUUAACAACAAAAAAUUCAAUCAAGAUUUUUAUAUUCAACUUAAUUGUUCAUAAUAGUUAUAUUUGGUUAAGAUGAUCCUUUUUGGUUUUUAAUUAAAAAAAAUAACUAAGCUAAAUUUGUUUUUUUAAAAUUAAAAGAAAUUAGUUCUGGUUAAUUUUGGUUCGGUUAAUUAAAGUAAAAAACCAGGAAAACCGACCAUAUAUGUGUUGAUUUGACAUAAACUACUGAGUAAUGAAACCAGAGCAAAGAAUGGAAACAUAUCUUUCAUCAAAGAUAUCCAACAAUUCUUUUACACUUCUCUCCAACAAUACAGAUUUACUAAUUGCAUUCAAACAAUAAAAAGGAAAACUUAAGUACAAGAUGCCUCACCAGAUUUGAGGAGAUUAGAUAUAAAAAAUCCCUUCUGCUUUAUAGUUAUGUUUGCUUGUCUGUGUUUUUCUUCUAGAUCUACUAAUGAUUUUUUAGUUUCCUCGAGCUUUUUUUGAAUUUUCAAGGAAGAGAAUAAUAAGCUCAGAUCUUGCUGGUGGAAGCAGAAAAGCAGAAUGAAGAAGGUUUCCUUGUUGACGACCUAAAGUUAACUACCUCAGUUUUAUCAAGUUUCUCACUUAAAUCCGCUGUCAAGUGUAGCUGAGAAUUGUAGAGUUCUUGGAGAAGACGAGAAGUUAGAAACCAGAAAAGGGGAGACGCUGAGAUUGAGAGAAAAAUUGGGGGAGGAACCGGUUGGGUUUUGAUUUGGUCUCGAGGGUUGGAAGAAAAAUUCUUUUAACUUGUUUCGUCAUCAUACCAUAUAAACUUAAUCAGCCAAAAGGAUAUCAAAAUAAGGUUACAGUAGUUACAAACUCGUAUUUACAAUAAAUUAUAUUUAAUUUUUAUAUUUUAUAUUUUAUAUUUUUAUAAUGUGAAAGUAGUGAUGUGUAUAUGGCUUUUUAUUUAUUUAUAGAUUUUCAUUUAAUAAAUUCACACGUGGAGCAACAAUUAGGAUCUUAAAAACUAAAUAAUCUAAAGAUAUAUCAUGAAAUUUGAUUAUUAAAUAUUUAACGUGGCGGUUUACAAUUCAUGAAACUAAACGCAAUAAAAAAACUUUUAAAAAAAAUCAAACAACUAAAUAUUUAAAUAAUAACAAUUAUAUAUAGAGAGUAUAGACAUACACACAUAUAAAGGCUUGUAGGCUGUAGCUAACUAGCUACCAUGAAAACAGGAAUAGACAUCUCUUCUUCCUUUUUAGCGCGUGACCCAGCGACGAUUAAAGUAAGAAAUGAUUUGGUGUAUAAGGGUCUACCAAUAGUGCUAUGAAAUCGCUUGUGUCAAGUGGCCACAUCACCUUCAAUUUAAGCCAAACUCAAAAGUCAGCUCUUAAAAUUCUUGACGAACCUGUUUUCGGUAUUUUGUGAGUUGCGUAAACACGAUUUUCUAGCUAGCUCAUAAGCUCAUCAUCAUUAUUCUAAUAUUAUAUAUUAAAAAAUCAUUUCCAUCUCAAAGUAAAAUUUUAAAUUAUAAUUUAUAUGGUUGUUUAACAAUAAAAAACUUAGAACAGGUUAUUUAUUCUAUCAAAAGUUCAAUAUCAUUAAUACUUGUUAGGACAAAUUUUUUUAAAAAAAAAAAGAUGUUUGGAAAUAUAAUAAAUAUUGUAUUUUAAAGUGUUUUUUUUUCUUUAAAAAUAUUUUUAAAAAAUAAAAAAUUAAUUUUAAAUAAAAAUAAAUAAAUUUUAACCAAUUUUUUAUACCGCAGUCCCAAAUGAACCUUUUAGUCACCCAGAAAUUAGGUUGCAAGAAAAUAUAUAUUUUUACCUACUAAUCAAAAGUAUCUUUUUAAUAUUCAGAUACCAAUAUUUAAGACAUACAUUUAAGACAUGAAACUUGAAAAUUUUAACAAGAACACAGAAUUUGACUAUCAGGAUUCAAAAUACGCAUUAUCUUGCUGACAAAAUGACCUGCCUACUUGUUUGGCCGCCUGAAUUUACGUUGAUGCCACUCUCACCAUUCUAAUGGAAGCUUCUCUUUGACAAAAUCCCAUUGGUCAAAUAAGUACUACAAAUUCUAUUGUAUUGAUGGAGUAAAUAACUACCACCUUUGAGUUUUUUCCUCUUAACUCAAUACUUGAACAACGUUUCCUGUCAAUCCCUCUGCAAAAACACGACCGCUACUCCUUCAGGCCAUGUCUUGGCUUAUCCUACUCCUAACCAUAGCCUUGGUCUGUGGUUCAGCACCUGUGUUUGCUGAUGAUGAUGAGCGAUAUUUGAGCUGCAUGAACUCAUUUGAUUGCGGAAAUAUUAAGGGUGUUGGUUAUCCUUUCUCGGGAUCCGCUAGGCCUGAUUACUGUGGCUAUCCCGGGUUUGAGCUCGGUUGCAGCAACCAGGAUCCGGAGAUCACAAUCAUGCGAUCGACUUACAAACUCCUUGGCGUCAAUAACCAGUUGCGGACUCUCAAUGUUUCUAGAUCAGAUUACACAGAAAAUCUAUGUCCUACUCUCCUUUCCAACACCUCUUUGAAUCCAAACCUCUUGAAUUACACUUUAGAUUAUGCUGAGGCAACACUGUACUAUGGUUGCCCUAGUCCAAGCCCACCAGCGUUAUCAUCUCAGUUUACUUGCAACAUUAACGACACUGUUAUGGUGGGAAACUUUAUAACAGUCAACUUCUCUGUCCUUAGUAUUACUGAUACCAGCUUAAUCAGCUACCUGACAACAUGCAACAAUAGUGUUAAAUUUCCUGCCCAUCUAUCAGCUAUUAGGCCAAUUCUACCCAGUCCAACUGUAGCACAGUUUCUUGAAGCUAUUAACCAAGGUUUUGAGUUGGUUUGGAGUGCAAAUGAUUCAUUAUGUGAUACAUGUAAAUCUUCUGGUGGUCUGUGUGGGUACAACAGGACCACUACAGCAUUCACUUGUUACUGUGCGGAUCAACCUCAAGAUUUUGAAUGCUCAGCAUCACCACAGGCACCUAGUCAAUCAACAAGUAUGUCCUCUUUUCUUUCUUGAUAUUGCCAUGAUUGGAUAGAUAGAGAUAGCUGAAAUCUAAGAUAUGCCGUCCAGGCUAGGUGAUGUAGAGUGUGUUUGGCAUUGCGGUAGCUGUUGUGGUUGUGGUUUCAAAAAAGUUGUUUUAUAAAAAGUACUUUUAAUUGAGGUUGGUUUAAAAAAAUAGGUGUUUUGUUAAAACUGUAGUUGAAAUUGAGGUUGAAUAAAAAGUAAUUUAAUGUGUUUGGUUAAGAAUGCUUUUGAAAUUAAAGUUAUAAAAUAAUUUUAAAAUAUAUAUUUAUUAAUAUUGAUGGUUUUUAAUUUAAAUGUUGUAGAUUUAACUAUUGUUAUUAUUUCAUGAAAUAAAUAAUACUUUAUAUGAAAUAUUUUUUUAUUAUUCCUUAACCAUCUACAGUUCCAUUACGUACAAAACUCAUUCGACAAGAACUAUAUUUCUAUAAUUUUUUGAGCGUGCAAUAAAAUUAGAUAAAAUAUUUCAGGAUAAAAUUGAUUGAUAUUACAGUGCGAAUGAAUUUAAUUCACUUUAAACUAGUUUUUUAGGAAACAAAAUAUUAUUUACAUGACAAUAUAAGUAAAUUUAAUUCAUUCUAAAUUAUUUUUUUUAAUGUAAAAAAAAAAACAAAAAAAAAAAAACAGGAACAGUGCAAGUGAAUUGCACUGUUCCCGUGAACAGUGCGCGUGAUUGCACUGUUUGUGUGCACAGUGCAAGUGAAUUGCACUGUGCACAUGAGGCGUUAACUUUGAAAAGCAGCUCAGAGCUGCUGUGCAAAAAUCACGUUCAAAACGUGAAUUGUCGUGGGACCCACUAACAUUAAAGUGUGUUUCUGAUGUAACCAAACAUAUUGUUUGCUGUGGUUGCUUCAAACGCAGAAGCAACCACACAAACAAACGGACUCGUAGGAGGACCUCUGGUAAAAGAAACAGGUGUGAAUCGUUCCUUUGAGUAGAGGGAAGAACCUAGCUAGCUAUUAGGAAUUGUUCAAAGCUCCAUGAUCCUGAAGAGAACACCUUCCUCGGCCAUUUAAUUCCAGUAUAUCAAGCAAACAAAGACUUCGAUUAACUGACAAAGACUUUAUAACAUGAAAAUAUAGGUAGCCCUUUAUCACAAGGAGCAAUCAUUAUAGUAUUCCCAACCUAGUGUGUGUCGAGAUAUAUUAUUUCUUUAGCAGUAGCAGGAGACGAGACUGUCUAAUGAAAUUACUCUCCGUUAAUCUAGAAUUGCUAAAUACUCUUCAUUCCCACCAGUCCAGGCUCCUCGUUUAGUGAACUGAAAUUUGUCUAGGUUCCUGCUUCAACUAGUCCCGGUUUCUUGUUUAGUGAAAUGAAACUAGCCAUCCUACUCUUCUAAGUAAUCAAGGAACAAAAUUAUGUUUCAGAUAUUUUGUAACUUCUGCUGCAUAUUUGAGUCAGGUCAGGUUUUACCCUGUCAUAUUUUCGUCUUUGUUGAUUUAUGGGUAUGAUAGUUUUCAAGCAAAUGCUUCAAUAAUUUCAAUAAUCGAUGUUUGAAUUACUUUCAGAGUCCAUUAGUUUUUGUGUAGUCUUAAUGAAUAAUUAAUUGUAGCAAUUCGAGGUUAUCUGUUAAGAGGUUCAAUGUUCGAAAUUAGGCUUCUUUCUUCAGUCUUGUGUUGACUAUGACCCUAAGAAAGUUGGAGCUCUAUGUGGUGAUAGUUUGAAUACACAAUACGAUCCACAUCUUGUUCAUGAGAUGUUAAUUAACUCUAAGUUAAUCGCUGGGAGUUUUUUUUUUUUUUUUGCAGCCAUUGAUACUUAUUUCUUUAGUAGUUGUGUUGAGUGAUAGGGAAAAUUGAACAAUUCAAUUACUCAUAGUUUGAUUCCCCUGUUUUCUCUGUUUUUUGCAAUGCCUCUCUGCGAUUUUCGCAACGGAGAACCUGCUUCCCUUAAUGUUCCAGUUUCUUUAGGAUAGUUUCUUUAGGACAGUAGCUUGUAUGUAUAUAAUCUGAAUCAAGACAUGAACUAUUUUGUGUUCAACAAAUAAUAAUUGAGAUAGCCACUAUCAUAUUUUAAGUUCAUUCCAAUUGAUCAUGCUUACUAAGUGCCUACUGCCUACUGAAAACUUGCUUCAAUGUGGUCAUUGAUGUUUCUUGCUUUCAUGAUUUUUUGCAGAGAAGAAGUCUGGAAACAGUCCACUCGAAAUUGGUAUAAUUCUGCUACACACACUUUAUAAAAUCAACACCAAAAAUACAUGCUGAGCAUUUUGGUUUAUUUAUUUAUUUUCAUCUCCAGGACUUAGCUCAGCAGGUGCUUUUUUGGUGCCUUUGUGGGAUGCUGGAUCAUGGCCUUUAUACAACGGAGGAGAAGAAAAGCCGCCCUAGAGAAAACCAAAGAACUUCCUAUAGCAACUCCUUCUAGCAAAGGCCCUGCUACCUCAACUAAUCUCUCUCAAACCACCCCUUCUCUUACCUCCUUAAGGUCUGACAUUGAUAAGGGUAGUGCCUACUUUGGAGUUCGGGUUUUCAGCUAUGAUGAACUUGAGGAAGCAACCAACUUUUUUGAUUCUUCAAGAGAACUAGGAGAUGGAGGGUUUGGCACUGUUUAUUAUGGUUAGAAGAUGAAAUGAUUUCAUUUUGCAGUAUAGGAACUUGCAUCCAUUAACUGCUUUGUUGACUCUUUCUAAAUUUCUAGUUCUAUUGCUUGUUUUAUCAGGUGUACUCAGGGAUGGACAUGAGGUUGCCGUCAAGCGCCUAUAUGAGAACAACAUGAAACGUACUGAGCAGUUUAUGAAUGAAAUUGAGAUCCUAGCCCAUUUACAACACCGGAAUCUGGUGAAACUUCACGGAUGUACCUCCAGGCACAGCCGAGAGCUUCUACUCGUUUAUGAAUACAUUCCUAAUGGAACUGUUGCUGAUCAUCUUCAUGGAAGACAGUCAAACUCUCGCUUGCUCACUUUGCCUGUUCGGCUAAGCAUUGCCAUAGAGACAGCCAGUGCGCUGGUGCACCUCCAUGCUUCAGAUGUCAUACAUCGAGAUGUAAAAACCAAUAACAUUCUCCUAGACAAUGACUUCUGUGUCAAAGUGGCUGAUUUUGGUUUGUCCCGAUUGUUCCCAACUAAUGUCACUCAUUUAACGACUGCUCCACAAGGAACACCUGGAUAUGUUGAUCCGGAGUAUUAUCAAUGCUACCAACUCACGGACAAGAGUGAUGUUUACAGCUUUGGCGUCGUCUUGAUUGAGCUGAUAUCAGCUUUACAAGCAGUGGACACCAAUAGGCGUCGGCACGAUAUUAAUCUGUCCAACAUGGCAGUCAACAAAAUCCAAAAUCAUGCUUUGAAUGAGUUGGUUGAUCCAUUUCUUGGAUUUGAUAAGGAUUUCGUAGUGAGGAGGAUGGUAACAUCAGUUGCAGAUUAGCUUUCCGGUGUUUGCAACACAGAGGGAAAUGAGGCCAACUAUGGAAGAAGUGUUGGAGAUAUUGAAAAGAAUUGAGAAAGAAAAUUAUGGAGCAGAAAAGGCAGAUGUAUUGGAUAUUAGUGAGGAUGAUGUUGGG